UACGGGGGGAGCAAGCGUUAUCCGGAAUUAUUGGGCGUAAAGAGCUCGUAGGCGGUGUGUCGCGUCGGUCGUGAAAACUUGGGGCUUAACCCUGAGCUUGCGGUCGAUACGGGCAUCACUGGAGUUCGGCAGGGGAGACUGGAAUUCCUGGUGUAGCGGUGAAAUACGCAGAUAUCAGGAGGAACACCGGUGGCGAAGGCGGGUCUCUGGGCCGAUACUGACGCUGAGGAGCGAAAGCGUGGGGAGCGAACAGG
rnacentral:rRNA from 1 species